rnacentral:lncRNA from 1 species
CCCUAAACAAAUAUGUAUACUAGUUCAGCGAUAAUGGACGUCAUACUAAACUCCUAAUUAUACACAAGAAACUAAAAUUAAAAAUCAUAAAAGAAUAACAAAGUCCAGAGGAUCCCGACUUGGGACAGGCGCAAAAUUGCGGCGGGGUUAAACAUGUUUUUUGAGAUCUCAACCCUCCCCCUAUACCUCUAGCCAAUGUAGAAAAA